rnacentral:rRNA from 1 species
GUCAGAGGUGAAAUUCUUGGAUUUAUGAAAGAUUAACUUCUGCGAAAGCAUCUGCCAAGGAUGUUUUCAUUAAUCAAGAACGAAAGUUAGGGGAUCGAAGACGAUCAGAUACCGUCGUAGUCUUAACCAUAAACGAUGCCGACCAGCGAUUAGGAGACGUUGAAUACAAAACACCACCAUCGGUGCGGUCGUCCUUGGCGUCGGUUUCGGCGGGCGCGGGGGCGGCUUAGCCCGGUGGCACCGGUGAAUGACUCCCCUAGCAGCUUGUGAGA